rnacentral:rRNA from 1 species
CAGUAGCCACGGUAAUACGUAGGGUGCGAGCGUUAAUCGGAAUUACUGGGCGUAAAGCGGGCGCAGACGGUUACUUAAGCAGGAUGUGAAAUCCCCGGGCUCAACCUGGGAACUGCGUUCUGAACUGGGUAACUAGAGUGUGUCAGAGGGAGGUAGAAUUCCACGUGUAGCAGUGAAAUGCGUAGAGAUGUGGAGGAAUACCGAUGGCGAAGGCAGCCUCCUGGGAUAACACUGACGUUCAUGCCCGAAAGCGUGGGUAGCAAACAGGAUUAGAUACCCGAGUAGUCCCUGUCUCUUAUAC